rnacentral:rRNA from 1 species
GAUGAACGCUAGCGAUAGGCCUAACACAUGCAAGUCGAGGGGCAGCAUGAUUGUAGCAAUACAAUUGAUGGCGACCGGCGCACGGGUGAGUAACACGUAUGCAACCUACCUACAACAGGGGAAUAACCCGGAGAAAUUCGGACUAAUACCGCAUAACACAGGGAUUCCGCAUGGAAAUAUUUGUUAUAGAUUUAUCGGUUGUAGAUGGGCCUGCGUUCCAUUAGCCGGUUGGUGAGGUAACGGCUCACCAAAGCAACGAUGGAUAGGGGAACUGAGAGGUUGAUCCCCCACACUGGAAGGGAGACACGAACCAAACUCCUACAGGAGGCAGCAGUGAGGAAUAUUGGUCAAUGGGCGAAAGCCUGAACCAGCCAAAUGGCGUGAAGGACAACUGCCCUAUGGGUUGUAAACUUCUUUUAUAUGGGAAUAAAAUGGGGAACGUGUGCCCCAUUGCAGGUACCAUACGAAUAAGCAUCGGCUAACUCCGUGCCAGCAGCCGCCGUAA